UACGGAGGGUGCGAGCGUUGUCCGGAAUCACUGGGCGUAAAGGGCGCGUAGGUGGCGCGGGCAGUCAACGGUGAAAGCUCGGGGCUCAACCCCGAGUCGGCCGUCGAUACUCCCGUGCUUGAGCACUGUAGAGGCAGGUGGAAUUCCGGGUGUAGCGGUGGAAUGCGUAGAGAUCCGGAAGAACACCGGUGGCGAAGGCGGAUCUCUGGGCCAUUACUGACGCUGAGGAGCGAAAGCGUGGGGAGCGAACAGG
rnacentral:rRNA from 1 species